AGCUUAACACAUGCAAGUCGAGCGGGGAAGGUUGCUUCGGUAACUGACCUAGCGGCGGACGGGUGAGUAAUGCUUAGGAAUCUGCCAUUUAGUGGGGGACAACAUUCCGAAAGGAAUGCUAAUACCGCAUACGUCCUACGGGAGAAAGCAGGGGAUCUUCGGACCUUGCGCUAAAUGAUGAAGCCUAAAGUCGGAUUAGCUAGUUGGUGGGGUAAAGGCCUACCAAGGGCGACGAUCUGUAGCGGGUCUGAAGAGGAUGAUCCGCCACACUGGGACUGAGACACGGCCCAGACUCCUACGGGAGGCAGCAGUGGGGAAUAUUGGACA
rnacentral:rRNA from 1 species